rnacentral:rRNA from 1 species
AGUGAACGCUGGCGGUAGGCCUAACACAUGCCAGUCGAACGGCAGCACAGUAAGAGCUUGCUCUUACGGGUGGCGAGUGGCGGACGGGUGAGGAAUACAUCGGAAUCUACUUUUUCGUGGGGGAUAACGUAGGGAAACUUACGCUAAUACCGCAUACGACCUACGGGUGAAAGCAGGGGAUCUUCGGACCUUGCGCGAUUGAAUGAGCCGAUGUCGGAUUAGCUAGUUGGCGGGGUAAAGGCCCACCAAGGCGACGAUCCGUAGCUGGUCUGAGAGGAUGAUCAGCCACACUGGAACUGAGCCACGGUCCAGACUCCUACGGGAGGCAGCAGUGGGGAAUAUUGGACAAUGGGCGCAAGCCUGAUCCAGCCAUACCGCGUGGGUGAAGAAGGCCUUCGGGUUGUAAAGCCCUUUUAUUGGGAAAGAAAAGCAGCAGGUUAAUACCCCGCUGUUCUGACGGUACCCAAAGAAUAAGCACCGGCUAACUUCGUG